rnacentral:rRNA from 1 species
AGCGAACGGGUGAGUAUCGCGUGGGUAAUCUACCCAAAGGUGUGGGAUAGCCUCGGGAAACCGGGGGUAAUACCGCAUGAGUCCUCAACGGCGCGAGCCGAUGAGGGGAAAGGCGGGGAUCCUUCGGGACCUGUCGCCUUUGGAUGAGCCCGCGUCCGAUUAGCUUGUUGGUGGGGUAAUGGCCUACCAAGGCAACGAUCGGUAGCCGGCCUGAGAGGGUGAACGGCCACAUUGGGACUGAGACACGGCCCAGACUCCUACGGGAGGCAGCAGUGGGGAAUAUUGGGCAAUGGGGGCAACCCUGACCCAGCGACGCCGCGUGGAGGAUGACGGCCCUCGGGUUGUAAACUCCUGUCAGGUGGGAAGAAGAGUCGUCCGGCUAAUAUCCGGACGAAAUUGACUGUACCACCAAAGGAAGCCCCGGCUAACUCCGUGCCAGCAGCCGCGGUAAUACGGAGGGGGCAAGCGUUAUUCGGAUUUACUGGGCGUAAAGCGCACGUAGGCGGCAUGGUAAGUCAUAGGUGAAAGCCCUCGGCUCAACCGAGGAA